GAUGAACGCUGGCGGCGUGCCUAAUACAUGCAAGUCGAGCGAACGGACGAGAAGCUUGCUUCUCUGAUGUUAGCGGCGGACGGGUGAGUAACACGUGGAUAACCUACCUAUAAGGCUGGGAUAACUUCGGGAAACCGGAGCUAAUACCGGAUAAUAUUUUGAACCGCAUGGUUCAAAAGUGAAAGACGGUCUUGCUGUCACUUAUAGAUGGAUCCCGCUGCAUUAGCUAGUUGGUAAGGUAACGGCUUACCAAGGCAACGAUGCAUAGCCGACCUGAGAGGGUGAUCGGCCACACUGGAACUGAGACACGGUCCAGACUCCUACGGGAGGCAGCAGUAGGGAAUCUUCCGCAAUGGGCGAAAGCCUGACGGAGCAACGCCGCGUGAGUGAUGAAGGUCUUCGGAUCGUAAAACUCUGUUAUUAGGGAAGAACAUAUGUGUAAGUAACUGUGCACAUCUUGACGGUACCUAAUCAGAAAGCCACGGCUAACUACGUG
rnacentral:rRNA from 1 species